CACAGCAUAUAUGUACAAUACGAUUUAUUUCAGUUCGAUACAAAGUGUAUAUGGAUAAAUUAAAAGGGUAAUUACAUUUUCGGCAAUAACAUGCAUUAUCGAAGUUACUAUUUCCCUCCAACAAAUAAAACACGUCCCAUAUCUGCCAAUUUAUAUUUGAAAAGUUGUCAUAUAUUAGACGCCCCCUCUGUAAUUUAGUGGGUCACAUCACAUGCUCUCUAAUUAUUUCAUAUGAGAAGCCAUUAUCCGAAAAAAAGAAGAUGAUAGAUGUAAAGCCACGAAAAUGAGAAUUGCAGAAACAUGGAUAUCCACGAAUGGACCGUCACAAGAUCUUCCAAUAAUAUUUAGCUUUUUUCAGUCAAACGUAGAUAGUCAGUGAGUUGAUGAUGAAGCCCUCGUGUUGUACGUAGCUGCCAAACACUAACAUAUUCAAAUCCACCCAAUUAAUAAAGCUUCGGAGCACAAUAAUUUUAU